GGCCCUGAGCAAGCUCCUGGCAGGGCCCUGAGGAAGCUCCUACCAGGUCAGAAAUGAAGUCCAAAGAAGUUUCAAGAUGACAGGUACAAUCAUG